GGCGGCGUACCCAAGUGGUUAAGGGGACGGUUUGCAAAACCGCUAUUCAGCAGUUCGAGUCUGCUCGCCGCCUCCA
rnacentral:tRNA from 1 species